UACGAGGGGUGCAAGCGUUGCUCGGAAUCAUUGGGCGUAAAGGGUAGGUAGGUGGUCUCAUUUGUCUGAGGUGAAAGCCUUGAGCUUAACUCAAGAAGUGCCUCAGAAACGGUGAGACUGGAGUCCUGGAGAGGGUCGUGGAAUUCCCGGUGUAGCGGUGAAAUGCGUAGAUAUCAGGAGGAACACCGGUGGCGAAGGCGGAUCUCUGGGCCGAUACUGACGCUGAGGAGCGAAAGCGUGGGGAGCAAACAGG
rnacentral:rRNA from 1 species